UUUCUUCUUAAUUUUUGGAUGUGUAAAUAUUGCUUAAAACAUCAGUCCUGGGGGGAAAAAAAAAGAGUCAAUCAAUGUCCUUGUUUUUAUUUGGGAGCUAAAGACAGAGUUUAAUUGUAUUUUUGUUUAGCUGUAGCUGUUAUCUUCUGCUUACGCAGAAUUUCUAUGCUCAAGAAAGGGGAGAAUAAUGGGGAAAGGGCACAGUCAUUUUACUUCUAUGCUACAAUCCUUGCAAAGUAUCAGGCACCAAAUAACUGUUUGCCAGAUCUCAAGUGUAACAAGAAAGAAACCUGUCAUCAUCCAUAGGAAAACAAUGAACUGUGUGUAGCCAAGAGAUAAACAGUGAUGGCUCAUGGGCUGGGCUAGACAGGAAAGAGGAAGCCCACUCUAAGUUUUCACCUGGACUCAGACAGAAGGCAAGCUCUGCCUCUCAGCCAUAAAGCAUAAACUCAUGUAAUUUCUGCAGUAAGAGAGUGGACGCUAAGAAAUAAGGAGUUAGUUGUUCUCAGGAAAAUGGAAUGAAAUAGAAAAAAGCCAAACUCUUCAAAUGAAGGAAGAAAGUAUAGUUCUUAUAUGGAGAGCAAUGCCACUAUUUAAUUUCAUCUGUGAUUCCUAAAUAAAU
rnacentral:lncRNA from 1 species